CGGCAAUAGCUCAAAUUUGAAAUCUGGCUCUUUCAGGGUCCGAGUUGUAAUUUGCAGAGGGCGCUUUGGCGUCGGCAGCAGCCUAAGUUCCUUGGAACAGGUCAUCAUAGAGGGUGAGAGCCCCGU
rnacentral:rRNA from 1 species